rnacentral:rRNA from 1 species
UACGAAGGGGGCGAGCGUUGUUCGGAUUCAUUGGGCGUAAAGGGUGCGUAGGCGGCGCGGUAAGUCGGGUGUGAAAUCUCGGAGCUUAACUCCGAAACUGCAUUCGAUACUGCCGUGCUUGAGGACUGGAGAGGAGACUGGAAUUUACGGUGUAGCGGUGAAAUGCGUAGAUAUCGUAAGGAAGACCAGUGGCGAAGGCGGGUCUCUGGACAGUUCCUGACGCUGAGGCACGAAGGUCAGGGGAGCAAACGGG